GACGAACGCUGGCGGCGUGCUUAAUACAUGCAAGUCGAACGGAAAGGCCCUGCUCUUGUGGGGUGCUCGAGUGGCGAACGGGUGAGUAAAACGCGAGUAACCUGCCCUUGACUUUGUGAUAACUUCAGGAAACUGGGGCUAAUACCGGAUAGGAGCUCCUGCUGCAUGGUGGGGGUUGGAAAGUUUCGGCGGUUGGGGAUGGAUUCGCGGCUUAUCAGCUUGUUGGUGGGGUAGUGGCUUACCAAGGCUUUGACGGGUAGCCGGCCUGAGAGGGGGACCGGCGACAUUGGGACUGAGAUACGGCCCAGACUCCUACGGGAGGCAGCAGUGGGGAAUAUUGCACAAUGGGCGGAAGCCUGAUGCAGCAACGCCGCGUGCGGGAUGACGGCCUUCGGGUUGUAAACCGCUUUCGCCUGUGACGAAGCGUGAGUGACGGUAAUGGGUAAAGAAGCACCGGCUAACUACGUG
rnacentral:rRNA from 1 species